rnacentral:rRNA from 1 species
UACGAAGGGGGCUAGCGUUGCUCGGAAUCACUGGGCGUAAAGGGUGCGUAGGCGGGUCUUUAAGUCAGGGGUGAAAUCCUGGAGCUCAACUCCAGAACUGCCUUUGAUACUGGGUGUCUUGAGUAUGAGAGAGGUAUGUGGAACUCCGAGUGUAGAGGUGAAAUUCGUAGAUAUUCGGAGGAACACCAGUGGCGAAGGCGGCUCACUGGUCCAUUACUGACGCUGAGGUGCGAAAGCGUGGGGAGCAAACAGG